rnacentral:rRNA from 1 species
AACGAACGCUGGCGGCAUGCCUAACACAUGCAAGUCGAACGAGACCUUCGGGUCUAGUGGCGCACGGGUGCGUAACGCGUGGGAAUCUACCCUCAGGUUCGGAAUAACUCAGAGAAAUUUGAGCUAAUACCGGAUGAUGACGUAAGUCCAAAGAUUUAUCGCCUGAGGAUGAGCCCGCGUAGGAUUAGGUAGUUGGUGAGGUAAAGGCUCACCAAGCCGACGAUCCUUAGCUGGUCUGAGAGGAUGAUCAGCCACACUGGGACUGAGACACGGCCCAGACUCCGACGGGGGGCAGAAGUGGGGAAUAUUGGACAAUGGGCGAAAGCCUGAUCCAGCAAUGCCGCGUGAGUGAUGAAGGCCUUAGGGUUGUAAAGCUCUUUCACCCGGGAUGAUAAUGACAGUACCGGGAGAAUAAGCUCCGGCUAACUCC